rnacentral:lncRNA from 1 species
AUGGCUGACUAAUCAACUCAUGACUCUUUAGUGUAAAUAAGUUUCAGUCGAUGUAUUACCCAACCCAAACAUCUCCGUCUUAAAAACUUAAUCUCUGCUCAAUGGUAAGUUUUGUCUAUCCAUCGAGGGAUUCAGGCAGCAGCAAGAAAUUGAGGAAAAAAAUCUCCAAAGAUACAUAAGGUAGAAAGGAAUUCAUCUUAUUAAAAGGUAAGGAUGCUGAGUCUUGGUAAAAUUUAAUUUAAUUUACAAUU